GACGAACGCUGGCGGCGUGCUUAACACAUGCAAGUUGAACGGUCCGGCAUGGAAGCUUGCUGAAGUGUCGGGUAGUAGCGGACGGGUGAGUAAUGCAUGAGAAGCUGCCAUUGGGAGGGGGACAACAGUUGGAAACGGCUGCUAAUACCCCAUAUGCCGGAAGGUGAAACGGAGUGAUCCGCCCGAUGAGGUGCUCAUGUCCUAUCAGCUAGUUGGUGAGGUAACGGCUCACCAAGGCGACGACGGGUAGCCGGCCGGAGAGGGUGACCGGCCACACUGGAACUGAGAUACGGUCCAGACUCCUACGGGAGGCAGCAGUGGGGAAUAUUGGGCAAUGGGGGCAACCCUGACCCAGCGACGCCGCGCGAGGGAAGACGGCCUUCGGGUUGUAAACCUCUUUUGUACGGGAAGAAGGAUGUGACGGUACCGUGCGAAUAAGUCCCGGCUAACUACGUGCCAGCCGCCGCUGUAAGAC
rnacentral:rRNA from 1 species